UACGAAGGUCCCAAGCGUUAUCCGGAUUUAUUGGGUUUAAAGGGUGCGUAGGCGGGUUAUUAAGUCAGUGGUGAAAGCCUUCAGCUUAACUGAAGAACUGCCAUUGAUACUGAUGAUCUUGAGUAUGAUUGAGGUGGGCGGAAUGUGUCAUGUAGCGGUGAAAUGCUUAGAUAUGACACAGAACACCGAUUGCGAAGGCAGCUCACUAAGUCAUAA
rnacentral:rRNA from 1 species